UACAGAGGAGCCAAGCGUUGUCCGGAUUGACUGGGCGUAAAGCGCACGCAGGCGGCCGCGCGCGUAGGGUGUGAAAUCUGGCCGCUUAACGGCCAGGCGCCAUCCCAUACGGCGCGGCUGGAGCCAUGCAGAGGGCGGUGGAAUUGCCGGUGUAGUGGUGAAAUGCGUAGAGAUCGGCAGGAACACCCAGGGGGAAACCAGCCGCCUGGGCAUGCGCUGACGCUGAGGUGCGAGAGCGUGGGGAGCGAACCGG
rnacentral:rRNA from 1 species